CAUGGCCGAUGACACUGUGACUCCCCUAGUGUGAAACCUCUCAACUUCUGAAGCAGGAAGAAUUAUAAACAGAUUUCAGCUGGAGACAUACCUUCAAAUGUUCUAAAUGGUUCAGCACAAGUCUUCUAGUCUCUUCUCAAAGGCAGGAAAUGAUGAUAUUUGAGGACGAACCAAAGGUGUACCUCGGUCCUAUCCCAUGGACUCAUGUCUUCACUGAACCCCCCCCCCAGACAUCAUGGAAUGCCCAUCACCAGAUUUUGGGGUCGCACACAAUGAUCCCCUUUAGUGGAAGAAGGAGAAGAGGAGGGGGGACAAAGAGGGGAGGAAGAAAUGUCCUUAAACUUAAAGCCUAAUCAGCUUGUUUUUCUGGAGCAUCUUACUGAGAGCAGAGUCCAUUAGCCACUGAAGAGCAUAUCACCGUUUCUGUCACCCCCUGUGAGCUUCCUGUUAACUUGACUUCUGUGGAAGAUUCAGUUUGAUAUCUCCUGGUGUCACGACUGGCAUUAAUUCAUAUUGCCGUAAUGAAAAAUUCUAAGGAGCAAAUAAAGGGGAUUUGGUCUUUGAAGCUGUGUUAUAUGCUAACUGCAGCCACACUGCGGAAGUCACACCUCCGCAGAAAAAUAUACAAACUCGGGCCAUUAGGACAUCUUCCUGAAAUCUGACAUUC